UUGAAAACUUCAUUUUUGCAGUCUGGAAGAAUGCUGAUGGACCAUGGAGGAAGGUCAUAUUGCUUAUUAAAAUAGUCAACUUUCGCCCAAGAUUCAGUAUCAUAGUUGGCAAGAAAUGCAGCACACGCCCCUGAUUUUGCCCUAUACUCGUGAGCCUGUAAAUAGAGAUAUGUGAGAAGGACAAUUUACUUGAACAAAACCAAAAGCAUUGGAGAACUGCUUAAGUCAGCUAAGUUAGAUUGACCUCGGAGUUUUUGCCAAGUGACCAAACCGUAGGAUCUGCUGAAACUAAAGCUGCUUCAGCUUGCUUGAUGGCACUAUGCAUUAGUUUCAAAUGUCCAUAUUUUGGUUCCCUCGCUAAUCCUAAUACACGAUCCAUCAUGAACAUUGUCAAAAAAAAUUUAUGAACGUAUAACCUUCGACUAAUGAACAAAGUUGAAACACAAAUUAAGAAACUGUGCAUACCGUAUUCGUCAAGAGGUGCAUCAUAGUCAUAGCUAGUGGCAACAAACAUACCCGAAGAUUCCCGGCCAAAAUUAGUUCCUCCAUGGUACUAAUACAGUAAUAUUCAAGUCGACAUGUAAGAGAAAAGCAUCAACUCAGCCGAAAUAACAUCAUUUAUCAAAUGACUUAGUUUCACUUCAGAUAAUGUGAAAAGCUUCAACUUACCAUGUAAUAAUUAAAGAAAGAACCCUUAUUUUGCACGAAUCGUAGGACUGCAAAAGCCAGGUCUUCGGCUGGUCUAUAAGGGACCGCGCCACCAAAUUCUGUUAACCUGCAUAUAAUCAUGGACCAUGUAUUAUCCCACAGUAAAUAAUAAGUAAAGGAGUUGCAGUGUGAUUAGUUGAGGGCCCUUGGCCAAUAGCCUCAAUCUUAGGUAGAUAAUCCCAUGCUUUAGGCAGAUUCAGUAUAUUAAAUUUGAUAUAGUGAAGAUUAUAUCCGUUUAGCUUACCAGCUUGUCCAGACUUCAGUCCACAUCUUGGGUUUAUACGACUUCUUCGGAAAGAAUCCCUCACAGUAGAAACCAUUGCAAGUGUCUAUCUGCAAUUACAAAUAAUAAAACAUGAUUCUAUUUUCAAAGCCAAAUAAAUAGAAGUAGCUGCCUUUACUUCUUGUACUACGUCAAAUAUGUGCGCGCUUUCAUUGAAAAUCACUUACAAUUGGAUCAGGUACAUCGUCUUGUUUGCACAUGAUCCAUGGUACACCAGUAUUAAGGCCUACAGCCAUGCUUGAGAACCAUUUCGUAUAAGCUUUUCCUGGAGCACCUAUUUCCCAUUCUACCGGACCAUAUUCAUUUUCAAUCUGCAUAACGUAAUCAUCAAAAAAAAUGUCACUCUUUUUUACUAAUUCCAAAAUAACAAAAUAUUAAACUCGUGAUUCAGUUUAUUAAAAAAAAGCAUAAGGACCUGAGACAUGAUAAUUGGUCCGCCCUGGGGUUCAAACAACUUGUUCGACUUCAUCAUGUUGACAAUCAUUUCUGUAAAACGUUGCAUUUCCGCCUUUGUUUCAUAAGAGUCAAAAUCAGUACACAAUCAGAAGUCAAGAAAGUGAUGAAUUUAAUAAUUCUUAAAUAUAACUUACCUUAAAAGGAUCAUUGUCAGUUCUAAAUGAAAUUCCAGGUAUAAACUUAAGCCAGGAAGGAAAUCCCCUGCAUCAAAACAGAAUAAUCCACAUGAGAAUAUGAGAUCAUUACAUCUACAGAGACAGACAGAUAGUUAAGUUACAAUUCUACAUGUUAAAGUACAUGGAUUACCCAAAGUUCCAUUCAGCACAAACAUAAGGGCCAAUUCGGAGGUGGACAUAAAGGCCAGCUUCUUGCACGGUUUUAAUAAAACGAACAAGAUCAUACCUUCCCUCAAAAUUAAACUGGAAAGGGCACAAAUUCAUGAAUCAUUCAGUUUAGCACAAAGAAAACACACAUAUACACUCCAUUAGUAAAAUUUCGAGUUUUCGACAUUACUUUUCCUCGAGUAGGUUCAUGUCCAUUCCAGAACACAUAAGUCUGAAUAACAUCCAAGCCUCCAUAUUUAGCCUUUUUUAUAAGAUCAGGCCACAUCUACAAUUGCAAAAAUCAAGAAGAUACACUAAAUUAAAGACUUCAUUUUUAUCUACCAAUAUUACACCAAACAACAAAAUGAGAAGAUCAUUAGGGAAAGAUGACCUCAGGAGUGCUUCUUGGGUAGUGAAUAGAACCAGAAAUGAGAAUCCUUCUUUGACCAUUAAUGAUGAUAGCUUUAUCAUCAUAAGUAACUGUAGCACUAACAGAACUACAAGUGCAUAAGAAUAUAACAACCAGAGACACAAGCCAACUUAAUAUUUUACAUACUAAAUCCAUAGUAAAAGGACUGUUAUUUUGAGUAUUACAAAUUUGAUUCUUGAUUUUUCACUUCACAACAUAUUACUCCCAUAGAAAAUAACAUCUUAUAUAGUGGAGGGAGUAUUAAAGACGCUGAUAAACUGUCACUAAAGAUUAAGUAGCGGUUAUAAAUAAUAAUAUCUAUUAAAGACGCUGAUAAACGGCCAACUAAAGAUUAAGUAGCGGUAAUAAAUAAUAAUAUCUCGGUGAUAAGCUGUCAUAAAAGCUAAAGAUAAGAUAUUCCAAUGUGAAAAAUAUUGAUAAAGGGGCAUAAUGAGUAAAUUAUCUUUUAGCAUACAAAUUAAUGAUGAUAAAUGAGAGAGAUAUCUUCUAUUUUGUUUGAAAAGAAAAAUGUUGGAUGAAUAAAAAUUUUGCGUGCAUUAUCCGAAAAACCAUAUUUUAUUCAAUCUUAAAAAGAAACUAGGCUUGAAUUGGAAUUUUGAUGAAUUUUAUAUAUGAAUUUUAAUGAAUUGUAUCUAAUUUUGAUUUUUUAUUUUAUCUGAAGUCUAGCAAACUACAUAUCCCAGAAAUUAUUUCCGAAUCGUAAUUAAUAAUUGAUUUCACUCGUAUUAAAAAUAAUGCAACCCACUAUAUGCAAAUAAACCAGUAAACCACCCAAUAAAAAUAAUCUUUUGUUUGUCAGGUUAAUUGGAGAAAAAAAAGGACACAAGAUUUUGGGGUAGCAUUACUCGAUAGACUGAGUCUCAAACUAAUUUUAAAUAUAUUUCCAAAUAUCAAGUAGGGUAGUGCUACAUAUUCAUAUUUUAUAUCAAUUUUUUCUGGAAUGACGUGACAAAUAAAUUACAGUUUUUAAUCGGAUGAUUUAUAUGUAUACAAAGAGUCUUCAUUAUUAUUAACAUGAAUCGAACGAUUAAUACAAAAUAUUAAUAAUUAAAAUUUGAAUAAUUUUUAAAUUAUCUAGAUUUUUAUAUCAAAUAUACGUAUAUUUUUAUCAUGCCGCGUCUACUCUGCUACAUCAUCUACUAUAAGGCCCACAUAAUCUGGGAUAAGGCCCGAAUCAAUUUCACAAGAUAUGAUUAUGGAAAUAUAAAAAGCAGGACGGAAAAUUCGGGAUAUAAGUCUUGAAUUAAUUUCGCUUUCAUAUUUACCUCGUUUCUUUUUUUUUUUUUUGUCGGACGGUUUCAUUUUCAUAUUUACCUCUAAAAUAAAUAAAAAAGUAUAAAAUCUAAACUGACAGGGAUUCUUAUGGAAAUUGAAUUUAACUGAAUUAGUGAUCAGUCGGUCACUACCAUUAUAUUCAUAAUAUUUUGUGUCAUGUUAUAUUCUGAUUGUAUUUACAAUAUUUUGAUGUUAUAGCGAGUUUUUUCCGCCCCAUAUUCAAUAUGGUGUGUACUUUGUUGUACUUGUGCUAAUGAAAAUCAAUAAACGUAUACUUGUAAAUAAAAAAAGUUAUGAGCAAUCAAACUAGUUAAUCCCAUUAUUGCUCAUACAAAAUGACAUCAAGGUCAUCCAAGUAAAAAUAUCUCAUGUCGGGUGUUUUGCUCUCUUUUUUUCACACUCAUAUUGAUUAUACAAUACGAAAUAUAUUGGUUAUACAAUACAAAACCUACAUUUAAGAAUUAUCCCUCAUUAAUCUCUGUUACGUAGCAAGUAAUAAAUUUUCUUAGAGGGUUUAUUUGUUCAAUUGGACAAACUCUAUCGGAGUCUCAACUCUCAACAGCCUUAUAAUAUACGAGUAUUUGUGUUUUAAUAACAUCUCGAAGAGUAAUAUGUAUAUUGUUGGCCGCUAAAUUAAUCGGGUAAAAUUUUUGUUAAGGAGGGCAAUGAUUACUCCAUUGACAAGGCUUUUAUCGUUGGAAAUGCUCUACUACGUACAGUCUACAAUGCAUUUUCCUUAAACAUCACAAUGAAACAUCUUUCUUUUAUGGAGAGGAGAUGAAACAUUUGAAAUUUUACAAACUAUGAGAAAGACUACACAAAUAAUUUCAUGUCUGAACCAGUCUCAUGCAAUAUUUGGUGACUGUGACCGGAAAAGGCUACAGAAAUAAAAGCUCAUGAACAAGCAAAAAAGAAAAGAAAAUUCUUGGGACAAGACAAAAAAUAUAUAUAUUCAUAUAUUGGAAGAAGCUUAUUUGGUUACAAGAGGCAUAAUAUACAUUUACAUUCGAAAUCUAUAUUGGCCUAUUGGUGUUUCAUUUGACUAUACAUUUUCAACACCACAAUUGAAGGGGCGCUUGAAUGAACCAGGAAAUUAUCUGGUUUCAUUCUGAGAGCUGUAAUACAAGUAUUCAAGUAAAAAAAUUCUAUUUAUAUUCUUCUGUAUAGUAUAGUGCUGCAGUAGCAGCUUCGAUUUUCCGAUCACAGUGUUCUUCUGACCAGUGAAAUCCCGAAUGGAUUACCUCCCCAUUCUUCAAAAAAAACCAGCUGAUUUCCGGUUGGUUUUAACCAUGAUCAGGGAACAUGAUACCUGAAAACAAAAGUUUGACACUAGAAUUUCAGCAACUCUUAUUUCUUUAUUAAACUAAUCGAUCUUACCGUCAUGACCUGGUCACAGAAUCUGUUUAUUUUUCCAAAUUAUUUGCUUUAUCUCUUCUAUGUUUGCUUAAAAGCUAUGCUUACAUAAUUUAUAUGUGUAUACGAUAUACUUACCUCGUCUGGGAUCAAAAUCCGAACAAAUGAUUCGGGUAUUUAUUUAUCGAGGUUAAAAUUAUAUCGACUAUAUUAGUGUUAGGAUCUAAAAAGUUAAUUCAUUAUUUGAAAUGAUUUAUGUAUUUAGGAUAUGCAUUUAACGAACUGCUCGAACUACUCAACUCGACUCAAAUUGUUCGUGAGCAUCUUAAACUUUACUGAUUUAAUAGUUUAACCAUCAAACUCGACUUGUUAAGUAAAAAUUCGAACUCGAUAAGAAAAAACUUGACUCUGCUCAGUUCAUUUAGCGGCGUACUACUCAUCAUUUGUCAUGAUUUUAAUACAACAGUUUGUGCUUUACAGAAAAUUUAGAAAGUAUUCAAGUGUUUGCUUCUCAGUGGACAUUAAUUUGCUAAAAAGAAAACGUUUUGCUGGCACAUGAUUCCUUAGUUUAAAUUUAUGUCUAUUUUGGUUCCAAGUGUUUUCCAUGCAUUUCUGGUGCCUGGGUUAAAAAACUACAAACACAAGUACUAAUAAACCAGAUAGAAAAAAAAAAUCUCCUGCAGAAAGAUGAUGGGGAGAUGAUCCCUCAGGAGAUUGCUGUCAAACAACUGUCAGCGGUAGCUAAAAAUAAUAGCUAGUAGAUGGCUGCACUAAUCACAUGCCAGGAAUUCGGAUCCAAAUUAUCAUUGUCGCAUGUAUAACUAUAGAGUAGUGCUGGGUGCACAAAAUUGUGUACAUAAAAUUUGUACAUAAUGACAUGUCAGUUGAUGUGGUGAGUUUUAAUUGAAGUUGUUGAUGUAAAUACAGAGGGUCCAUUCCAAUUAAAACCACCACAUGUCAUUAUGUACAAAAUCUUGUACACAAUUAUGUACACCAAGCAUUUUUCAUAACUAUAUCAUGUUGCAUGUAUGACUAAAUCCUACCGAACUACAGGCACAACCAUAUCAUAUCGCAUGGAUCAACCCAACUAUCAUACCGGUAACUCAAUGUUGUGUAGUUUCUAUUUUCUAAUUUUUAUAAAGAUUCUAUUUGGUAAAGAAAGUUCUUGUAGCAAGACAAAAAGUUAUAUAUUGGAAUAAGCUUUGGUUACAUGUGGCUCAAUACACAUUCAUAAUUAAAAUCUAUAUUGGUCAUUUUGUGCUUCAUUCCACUAUAUGUUCUCAACACCACAAUUGAAGGGAGCCCAAAUUCUAACCAGAAUUUUAUCUAGUAUGAACUUGUGAUAUCUUUCUUCUGUUUAAAUUUAGUGCAGCAGCAGCAGCUACUUCAAUUUUGUUCCGUUCUUUUGACCAACGAAAUCCCGGAAGGAUUACCUCCCCAUUCUUCAAAAAUAACCACCUGAUUCCCAGUUGGUUUUAACAAGGAUCGGGGAACAUGAUACCUGAAAACAAAAGUUCAGUACUAAUAGUUCAACAAUUUUUCUUAUUUUUUCCUUUCUACGACAAAAAAUGACACUUCAAAUUGUUUAAAGCUUGUUACCAUUUUUGAGAGGGUUCUCCGCAAUUGCUCAAGCAUUUAGUCUCAUCAUAAGUGCCAGCAUAAUUGCAAUUACCACAACCGCUACCACGAGCUAUGUAACCAGGCCAAUGGCGUCCAACACUUUCGCCAUUUAUCCAAAUUUGACCUUUUCCCAUGCUACUCAUAUCUAAUGCUAAAGGGUCAGAUCCUUCUGGAGCAUCGAAAGUAGACUGCAAAGUUUAAAACAAUUAUACAGAAAACCUCAUUUACUGUAUAAAGCUGUAAUUCAAUCUAUAUCUGUCAAAUUGGCGCAUACAAAUAUGAUGAAUUGAUGAUGUGAUAAAUUUACCUUGUACCACGACAGCGGUUGCUUCUGAGCUACCAAGGAUCCUUGUAGCCACUGAGCAGAAGAACUUUCACCAAGUGUAUGCAGACUUGAAGCUUGGCCUUUUAAACCAACCUGCUCAACAUCAGAAAAAAAGGGAUCAAAUUUUAGCCUUUAUCAGUACCUCAAGUCUUUGACAUUGUAUCGACUUGAUUUCAUAUAAAAAGUUCCUCUCUUAAUUAUAGAAAACUGUAGAUGUAUGCAAACCUUGUAGGACCAUUUCUGCUUUGUUAAGUCUCGAGUUCCCUCACUCAGACCAUUUAAGGUAACUGGACCAAGAACCCCUAUAUUGUAUGUCUCGAAAUGAACACCGACAUUCUGAAACAGAUUAUAAAGGAAUCUAAGAAUGUUAAUUCUAGCGGAAAUAUAUAUUAUGAUCUAAACAAAAAUUUCAGGCUAACAGUUUGAUGAGCUAACCGCAAGACCCACAGAAGAGCUCAGCAAAGAAAUCUUGUUAAUGCCAGCCUUCAAUUUCACAGUGUCGUUAAAUGUCAGUUUUGUAUUUUUCAGACUUCCGUAAGCAACUCCUGUCAUUAAAAAGAGAUUUUAUUAGUCCACAAUAUGAAAUCCUGCAACAAUGUUCUUAUAAAAAGAAUUAUAAGCCACGCAUUAGUCAAUUCACCUGACGAUUGUCCAUUGAUGAAAACCUGCAGAGCAUCUCCUGCUGACGUAACAGUAAGAAUAGGAUCAUCUCCAUUCUUGAGGAACGCUUCAUUCGCUGAUAUAUUCACACUGGAAAUAAAAUAGUAAGAACAUAAAAUUUGUUGUACAAAGAUUUUUAGAGCUGUAGGAACGAUUAGCAUUCAGAGGAUAGUUCUUACUCUAUGAGGUACCACAAAUAAUCUGAGAAAUCUUUAGUAAGAUUUAACUGCUCAUACAACCCCCACUUUGUGAAAGUAUCAUCAUCAUCAGCAAUAGGAACUUCUUCAGUGGAAGAUUGCCAAUCGAAAGCUGCUUUCACAGGGACCAUAUUCAAAUGAACACUAUUGGAAUGUACCUGCAAAGUUUAUUUUUUUUGCGUGACAAGAAGAUUGAAGUAAUUAUUGAGCAUAAUGCAUUAGCUUCAAUUUCCUUACCUUGGCAGAGUUGAAAACUUCAUUUUUGCAGUCCGGUAAAAUGCUGAUGGACCACGGAGGCAGGUCAUAUUGCCUAUUGAAAUAGGUAACUUUCGCUGAAGAUUCAGUAUCAUAGUUGGCAAGAAAUGCAGCACAAGCUCCAGUUUUUGCCCUGUACUCGUGAGCCUGUAAAUAGAGAUAUGUGAGAAGGACAAUUAACUUGAACAAAAACAAAAGCAUUUGUGAACUGCUUUAGCCAACUAAGUUAGAUCGACCUCGGAGUUUUUGCCAAGUGACCAGACUUUAGGAUCAGCUGAAACUAAAGCUGCUUCAGAUUGCUUGAUGGCACUAUGCAUUAGUUUCAAAUGUCCAUAUUUUGGUUCCCUCGGUAAUCCUAAUACAUGAUCCAUCAUGAACAUUGUCAAAAACAAUUUAUGAAUGUAUAACCUUCCAUUGAUAAUAUUCCUACUAACCAAUGAACAAAGUUGAAACACAAAUUAAGAAACUAUGCAUACCAUAUUCGUCAAGAGGAGCAUCAUAGUCAUAGCUGGUGGCAACAAACAAACCAGAAGAUUCCCGGCCAAAAUUAGUUCCUCCAUGGUACUGAUACAGUAAUAUUCAAGUCCACAUGUAAAUGAAAAGUAUCAACUCAGCUCAAAUAACAUCAUUUAAUCUAAUGACUUAGUUUCACUCCAGAUAAUGUGAAAAGCUUUGACUUACCAUGUAAUAAUUAAAGAAAGAACCCUUAUUCUGCACGAAUCGUAGGACUGCAAAAGCCAAGUCUUCGACUGGUCUAUAAGGGACCGCGCCACCAAAUUCUGUUAACCUGCAUAUAAACAUGGACCAUGUAUUAUCCCACAGUAAAUAAUGAGUAAAGGAGUUGCAGUGUGAUUAGUUGAGGGCCCUUGGCCAAUAGCCUCAAUCUUAGGUAGAUAAUCCCAUGCUUUAGGCAGAUUCGAUAUAUUAAGUUUGAUAUAGUGAAGAUUAUAUCCGUGUAGCUUACCAGCUUGUCCAGACUUCAGUCCACAUCUUGGGUUUAUACGACUUCUUCGGAAAGAAUCCCUCACAGUAGAAACCAUUGCAAGUGUCUAUCUGUGAUUACAAUUAAAGAAACAUGAUUCUAUUUUCAAAGCCAAGUAACUCCUUGCCAAGAAAGUUUCUGCUGAUAAGAAGGUGCAUCUAUAAUUGAAAUUCACUUACAAUUGGAUCAGGUACAUCGUCUUGUUUGCACAUUAUCCAUGGGACACCAGUUUUAAGGCCUACAGCCAUGCUUGAGAACCAUUUUGUAUAAGCUUUUCCUGGAGCACCUAUUUCCCAUUCUACCGGACCAUAUUCAUUCUCAAUCUGCACAACAUAAUCAUCAAAAAAAAAUGUCGCUCUUUUUUUACUAAUUGCAAGUUAAAAAAAUAUUAAACUUGUGAUUCAGUUUAUUAAAAAAAAGGCUCAAGGACCUGAGACAUGAUAAUCGGUCCACCCUGGGGUUCAAACAACUUGUUCGACUUCAUCAUGUUGACAAUCAUUUCUGUAAAACGUUGCAUUUCCGCCUAUGUAACACAAGAGUCAAAAUCAGUAAACAAUCAAACGUUAAGAAAUAAUGAAUUUAAUAAUUCUUGAAUAUCCGAUUUUCUAUAUAACCUACCUUAAAAGGAUCAUUAUCUGUUCUAAACGAAAUUCCAGGAAUAAACUUAAGCCAAGCAGGAAAUCCCCUGCAUCAAAACAGAACAUAAAACAAAGAGAACAAUCCACAUGAGAAUAUGAGAUCACCAUAUCUAGUUAAGUUACAAUUCAACAUGUUAAAGUACAUGGAUUACCCAAAGUUCCACUCAGCACAAACAUAAGGGCCUAUUCGGAGGUGGACAUAAAGGCCAGCUUCUUGCACGGUUUUAAUGAAACGAACAAGAUCAUACCUUCCCUCAAAAUUAAACUGGAAAGGAAAAAAAUGAUGAAUUAUGUAGUUUAGCAUAAGGAACACACAUAUAUACACUGCAUUAGUAAAAUUUUGAGUUUUACACAUUACUUUUCCUUGAGUAGGUUCAUGUCCAUUCCAGAACACAUAAGUCUGAAUAACAUCCAAGCCUCCAUCUUUAGCCUUUUGUAUAAGAUCAGGCCACAUCUACAAUCACAAAAAUCAAGAAAUACACUAAAUUAAAGACUCCAUUUUUAUCUACCAAGAUUACACCAAACAACAAAAUUAAUAAUUUGUGUAUGUGUGUGAAGUGCUUUAGGGAAAGAAUACCUCAGGAGUGCUUCUUGGGUAGUGAAUAGAACCAGAAAUGAGAAUCCUUCUUUGACCAUUGAUGAUGAUAGCUUUAUCAUCAUAAGUAACUGUAGCACUAACAGAACUACAGGUGCAUGAUAAUAUAACAACCAGAGACACAAGCCAACUUAAUAUUUUACAUACUAAAUCCAUCGUAAAAGGACUGUUAAUUUCAGGAUGACAAAUUUGGUUCUUAGAUUUUCCACUUCACAGCAUAUUGCUAUCAUGGAAAAUAACAUUUUAUAUAGUGGAGGGAUUUCGACAAGAUAAGAAUAAGUAGUUGUCACAAGUAUUAAAGAUUCUUUUAACGGUGAUAAACGGUCGCUAACAAUUAAGUAGCGGUCACAAAUAAUAAUUAUUCUCUCUAAUGGUGAUAAGGGAUCAUAAAUAGUAAAGAUAAGAUAUUCGAAUGUAAAAAAUAGUGAUAAUGGUGAUAAGGGGUCAUAAAUAGUAAAGAUAAGAUAUUCGAAUGUACUAAAUCCAUCGUAAAAGGACUGUUAUUUUGAGGAUUACAAAUUUGAUUCUUGAUUUUCCACUUCACAACAUAUUACUACCAUGGAAAAUAACAUCGUAUAUAGUGGAGGAAGAGUAUCAAAGAUACUGAUAAAUUGUCACUAAAGAUUAAGCAGCGGUCAUAUAUUAUAAUAUCUAUUAAAGACGCUGAUAAACGGUCACUAAAAACUAAGUAGCGGUCAUAAAUAAUAAUACUCCCUCCAUCCCAAAUUAGAUGAGCUCGUUGACUUCGGACACGCAUUUUAAAGUUCAUUGACCGCAUAGCUACAUUACUUUUUUUUGAAAUUUUAUUUUUACAAAUAAAAAUUUAAAUAUGAAAUUUUCAUUUAUAAAAAAAAUUUAAAAAAUAAAUUUCAGAACAACACGGUAAAUACACCUUAAAUUACGUGCCCAAAAUCAACUAUCUCAUCUAAUUUGGGAUGAAGGUAGUAUCUAUUAAAGACGCUGAAAAGAUAAGAUAUUCCAAUGUGAAAAAUAUUGAUAAUGGGUCAUAAAGAGUAAAUUAUCUCUUAGCGUACAAAUGAUAAUAAAUAGGAGAGAUAUCUUCUAUUUUGUUCAAAAAGAAAAAUGUUGGAUGAAUGGUGGAUGAACAAAUAAAAAUUUUGCCUGCAUUAUCCGGAAAAUGAUAUUUUAUUUAAUUUUAAAAAGAAACUAGGCUUGAGUUGGAAUUUUGAUGAAUUUUAUAUAUGAAUUUUAAUAGAUUGUGUUUAAUUUUGAUUUUUUAUUUUAUGUGAAGUCUAGCAAACUACAUAUCCCAAAAAUUAUUUCCGAAUCGUAAUUAAUAAUUGAUUUCACUCGUAUUAAAAAUAAUGCAACCCACUAUAUGCAAUUAAACCAGUAAACCACCCAAUAGAAAUCAGUCUUUUGUUCGUCAGGUUAAUUAGAGAAAAAAAUGAGACAGGAUUUUGGGAUAGCAUUACUCGAUAGAUUGAGUCUCAAACUAAUUUCAAAAAUAUUUCCUAAUAUCAAGUACGGUAGUGCUACAUAUUAAUGUUUUAUAUCAAAUUUUUCUCAAAUGACGUGACAAAUAGAUUACUAAUUUUAAUCGGAUGAAUAUUUAUAUGUAUGUAGAGAAUCAUCAUUAUUAUUAACAUGAAUCGAACCGAUCAAUACAAAAUAUUACUAACUACAAUUUGAAUAAUUUUUAAAUUAUCUAAAUUUUUAUAUCAAAUAUACGUAUAUUUUUAUCAUGCCACAUCUACUAUGCUGCAUCAUCUACUAUAAGGCCCACAUCAUUUGGGAUAAGGCCCGAAUCAAUUUAACAAAAUAUAAUUAUGGAAAUAUAAAAAGCACGAUGAAAAUUUCGAGAUAUAAGUCUUGAAUUAAUUCCGCUUUCAUAUUUACUUUUUUUUCUUUUUCUUUGCCGAGCGCUUUCAUAUUUACCUCUAAAAUAAAUAAAAAGGUAUAAAAUCUCAACUGACAGCGAUUCUGGUGGAAAUUGAAUAUAACUGAAUUAGCGAUCAGCCAAUCACUGCCAUUAUAUUCAUAAUAUUUUAUGUCAUGUUGUAUUUUGUUUGUAUAUACAAUAUUUCGAUGUUAUAUUGAGUUUUUCCCGUCCCUGAUUCAAUAUCGUGUGUUUGUUGUACUUGUGCUAAUGACAAUCAAUUAACUUAUACUUAUAUAUAAAAAAAAUUAUGAGCAAUCAAACUAGUUAAUCUCUUUAUUGCUCAUACAAAAUGACAUCAUUGCUCAUACAAAAUGACAUCAAGGUCAUUCAAGUGAAAAUAUCUCAUGUUGGUUUUUUUUUUCUCUCUUUUUUUUUUACACUCAUUGUAGUUAUACAAGAUCGCGCUCAAGAGAAAAUCAGUCCUUAAAAUACAACCAUGGAACCACUAAGGUUCUGCUGCACAGCCUUAAAUUUUAAAUAGAUUUUUAGGAUCUAAAAUUUAAAUACAUGUUAUUUUCAUGUUUUUUCGUCGUUGUUUGUGUUCAAAAAUAAUUUUAAAAUAUAAUAUAUGGAUAUUGACAUUUUUUACAUACUUAUGGGUUCUCUCUCUAAUGGUUAUCUUUUGAACAUGACUCAGGUUAUACAAUACGGAACCUACAUUUAAAAAGAUGCAGCUGAAUUCAUUGGAGCAAAAUUUUGAUUUAGGGGUCCAUAUGUAAAAAGGACAAAUAUAAGAGACGUGCAGGUAAUAAAAAAAAUUUAAAGGGUUUAUUUGUUCAAUUGGACAAACUCUAUUGGAGUCUCAACAGCCUUAUAAUAUACGAGUAUUUGUGUUAUAAUAGCAUCUCAAAGAGUAAUAUGUAUAUUGUUGGCCGCUAAAUUGAUCUGAGUAAAAUUUUUGUUAAGAAGAGCAAUUAUUACACUAUUGACAAGGCUUUUAUCGUUGGAAAUGCUCUACUACAGUCUACGAAGUACGAAUCAUCUUCCUUAGACAUCACAAUGAAGCAUCUUUCUUUUGUGGAGAGGAGAUAAAGCUUGUGGAAUUUUACAAACUAUAAGAAAGACUACACAGAUAAUUCCAUGUCUGAACCAGUCUCAUGCAAUAUUUGGUGACUGUUACCGGAAAAGGCUACAGAAAUAAAAGCUCAUGACAAAGCAAAAAAGAAAAGAAAAUUCUUGGGACAAGACAAAAAAUAUAUAUAUUCAUAUAUUGGAAGAAGCUUAUUUGGUUACAAGAGGCUUAAUAUACAUUUGACAUUCGAAAUCUAUAUUGGCCUAUUGGUGUUUCAUUUGACUAUACAUUUUCAACACCACAAAUUAAGGGCGCUUGAAUGAACCAGGAAAUUAUCUGGUUUCAUUCUGAGAGCUGUAAUACAAUUAUACAAGUAAAAAACUUUUAUUUAUAUUCUUCUGUAUAGUAUAGUGCUGCAGCAGCAGCAGCAGCAGCUUCGAUUUUCUGAUCACAAUGUUCUUCUGACCAGUGAAAUCCCGAAUGGAUUACCUCCCCAUUCUUCAAAAAUAACCAGCUGAUUCCCGGUUGGUUUUAACCAUGAUCGGGGGACAUGAUACCUGAAAACAAAAUUUUGACACUUGUACUUUAGCAACUCUUCUUUUUUUUUUCCCUUUUGUUGCAAAAAAAAAAAAAAAUUGGCACUUAAAUAUGUAUAGGGCUCUCGUCUCACCAUUUUUGAGAGGGUUGUCCGCAAUUGCUCAAGCACUUCUUUUCAGUGUAAGUCCCUGCAUAACUGCAGGUGCCACAGUUGCUACCACGAGCGAUGUAAGCAGGCCAAUGGCGUCCAACACUUUCGCCGUUUAUCCAAAUUUGACCUUUCCCCAUGCUACUCAUAUCUAAUGCUAAUGGGCCAGAUUCUCGUGGAGCAUUAAAAGUAGCCUGAAAAGUUUAAAAAUAUUGAUGAAUAAAAACCACAUUUACCAUAUAUAGCUCUUAUUUAUCUCUAUACGUUAACUCUGCCCAUAAAAAUAAAAUUUGAAUUGAUGAAAUUACCUUGUACCAGGAUAGUGGAUGCUUCUGACCAACCAAUGAUCCUUCUAGCCAAUUACUAGAAGAACUUCCACCAAGUGUGUGAAGACUCAUAGUUUGGCCUUUUAAACCAACCUGGACAACAAGGAAAAAACGGGAUCAAGAUUUACCCCUUUAUCUGUACCUCGAGCCUUCUACAUUGCAUUGACUAAAUUUCUGAUAUAUACUGUUUCUCUCUUAUCAUUUCUUGAAGUUAAAAAAAGAUGUCAAGUUCGAUCGCAAAUCCUCAAAACGUCCUUGCCAAUCUCUCUUUAAACCAACUUUGGUCAGUCUUUAUCUUAAUGUUUCUAAGAUGUACACAGUUAAAGGAACUGUAGCUGUAGAUAUUCAUAUGCAAAGUUGCAAACCUUGUAGGACCAUUUCUGCUUUGUCAAGUCUCGUGUUCCCCCAUUUAGACCCUUUAAGGUAACUGGACCAAGAAUCCCUGUGCUGUAUGUCUCAUAAUGCACACCAACAUUCUGAAACACAUUUGUGAAGGAAUUUAGAUUAGAUGUCAUAUCAGCUGACAAAUAAUAAUCGAAAACAAAAAUUGUAAGGCAAAAGGUUUGACGAAGCUAACCGAAAGACCCAUGGAAGAGCUUAGCAAAGAAAUUCUGUUAAUGCCGGCCCUCAAUUUAACGGAGCCGGUAAAUGUCAGUUUUGGAUUUUCCAGACUUCCAUAAGCAAUUCCUGUCAUUAAAGAGAAAUUUCACAAAUUAAAGAACAUUUAAACGAUGAAAACAAAGAUAAGCACUAAUAAUUGACUCCAAUGCAAGAGUAAACUCCUCAUUUUAUAUUUAUCAGAGGAUAUUACGACUGCUUUCAUUAUAAAAAGUUGUGAAGCAGUUUUAGAAAUUGGAGACAGAUUUUGAAAUUAGGGAGAUACUCCACAAUACAAAAUCUUGCAACAACUAUUAGUCCAUUUACCUGACGGUUGUCCAUUGACAAAAACCUGCAAAGUGUGUCCGGCUGACGCAAUCGUAAGAAUAGGAUCUUUUCCGUUCUUGAGGAACCAUUCAUUUGAGGCUAUAUUCACGCUGGUGAGAACAGAGUAAGAAUAUGAAAUUUGUUUUACCAAGAUAGUUAGAGUUUUAGUAAUAGUUUUUUCACAGGACAGGAUAAUGAUAGUAUCUAUAGACUAUAGUUCUUACUCUGUGAGGUACCACAAAUAAUCUGAGUAAUCUCUAGUAAGAUUUAACUGCUCAUACAACCCCCACUUUGUGAAAGUAUCACCAUCAUCAGCAGUUGGAGCUUCUUCAGUGAAUGACUGCCAAUGGAAAGCUGCACUAACAGGGAGCAUCUUCAUAUGAGAACCAUGGAAACCUACCUGCAAAAUUAUUAGGUAAUAUUAGUAUUAGGAAAGCUAACAAAAUUUAUAUGUUCAGUUUUAGAAACUUUAUAUAUGAAAACGGAAAAAUUUCUAUCAUUUCCAGAAUGUCUGUCAUUAGAAGUCACAAAUGAUGCAGACAGAGUUAACUUUUAAAGAAGAAGGAUAAAUGGAUUACUGUAAGCACAAUGCAUUAGCUUUAUAUUGCAUCACCUUAGCAGUGUUGAAAACUUCAUUUUUGCAGUCCGGAAGAAUGCUGAUGGACCAUGGAGGAAGGUCAUAUAGCUUAUUAAAAUAGUCAACUUUCGCCCAAGAUCUAGUAUCAUAGUUGGCGAGAAAUGCAGCACACGCCCCAGAUUUUGCCCUGUACUCAUGAGCCUGUAAAAAGAGAUAUGUGAGAAGAACAAUUAACUUGAACAAAAAAAAA
rnacentral:lncRNA from 1 species